AACGAACGCUGGCGGCAUGCCUAACACAUGCAAGUCGAACGAGACCUUCGGGUCUAGUGGCGCACGGGUGCGUAACACGUGGGAAUCUGCCCUUGGGUUCGGAAUAACAGUUAGAAAUGACUGCUAAUACCGGAUGAUGUCGAAAGACCAAAGAUUUAUCGCCCAAGGAUGAGCCCGCGUAGGAUUAGGUAGUUGGUGGGGUAAAGGCCUACCAAGCCGACGAUCCUUAGCUGGUCUGAGAGGAUGAUCAGCCACACUGGGACUGAGACACGGCCCAGACUCCUACGGGAGGCAGCAGUGGGGAAUAUUGGACAAUGGGCGAAAGCCUGAUCCAGCAAUGCCGCGUGAGUGAUGAAGGCCUUAGGGUUGUAAAGCUCUCUUACCAGGGAUGAUAAUGACAGUACCUGGAGAAUAAGCUCCGGCUAACUCCGUGCCAGCCGCCGCCGUAACAC
rnacentral:rRNA from 1 species